rnacentral:rRNA from 1 species
UACGUAGGGUGCAAGCGUUGUCCGGAAUUAUUGGGCGUAAAGAGCUCGUAGGCGGUCUGUCGCGUCUGCUGUGAAAACUCAGGGCUUAACCCUGAGCUUGCGGUCGAUACGGGCAUGACUGGAGUUCGGUAGGGGAGACUGGAAUUCCUGGUGUAGCGGUGAAAUGCGCAGAUAUCAGGAGGAACACCGGCGGCGAAGGCGGGUCUCUGGGCCGAUACUGACGCUGAGGAGCGAAAGCGUGGGGAGCGAACAGG